GUUAUCUUAUAUGUACUCUGCACCGAACUAUGCAACACAUGUGGCUGGAUUUUUAUACUGGCUAAUGGUCUGUCAAGACAAAACAAUCCUCUCAUAAUGCACAGCCUGAUGUAGGCCUGUGUUAUCGAUGCAGUUCUGGUAAAAGGAUAUACAUACUACCACAUUAUUAAACAUGCUGUUAAAUAUGCUGUACUCUGUAUUAACAUGUGAACUUUAUCACUUUUGUGGCUAAAGCGGUGCAUUUGUCUGGCAUUGUGUUGCCAUGCUAGAUCAUAUUUGUUGACAUUAUGACACUGUUUCCUUAUUUGCACAAUAGGUAUGCUAUGAAGUAGAUAUACAAAA